rnacentral:snRNA from 1 species
UCACACAGCCACGCAGCACAGAGCAAACUAUUCUUUCACUUUUUACUAAAGAAUACUGUGUGCUCGUCGCUCAAAGCGACAUACGCCUAUUUUUGGUGGGCUUUUCUCUUUUCUAAGAAGG